GUGGAUGUAGCUUAGCUGGUUAAAGCGCCAGAUUGUGGCUCUGGAGACCGUGGGUUCGAAUCCCAUCUUCCACC
rnacentral:tRNA from 1 species